GAGAAAGCUGCGAAAAAAUUUCAAUGAAAGUGCGCGACAUCCAAUGAUUUAUAAGUGAUUAUAGAAUAAAAUAAGAUUAUCCCACGGUAGAAAAUCAUUAAAAAUAAAUGAAACUUUUUUAAUUGUUCAAUAUUUUCGGUUACAAUAUUUGUAUAAGAAAUUUAAUUUAAAAAAAUUUUUAAUUAUCGUAACAUUGUCUUUUUAUAUAGAUAUAUAUACAAAUUUAGGAUUAAUUUCGAUAGUAUUUAUUACGUAAAUGUUUAUCAAAUCUUUUUUAUGAGGUUUACCUCAUAAAAAAAUGAAAAUAAUAGUUAUUAAACAUCCAUCUAUGGAGAAAAGGAAUCUCUAGAUAUAUGAAUUAACAAUUAGGCAGAUAAUAUAGAUCUGUGAUUUUACGAGGCGAACUACACAGAUAACUCGAGCUGAAUGGUAUGAUAUAAGAGUUCUAGACUGUUAACUACAUCAGUCUUAAAUAGAAUAUAUUAAACACGUAUGUUCUUUCUAUGUCAACUAUCUAAAGCUAUGUCAACGUCCGUUUCCUCAUCGCUGUUUGAUACUGAAGAUUUUUCUAAAAUAGAAAAAUGAAAUUUU